CCUACGGGAGGCAGCAGUGGGGAAUAUUGCGCAAUGGGCGAAAGCCUGAAGCAGCGAAGCCGCGUGAGGGAUGAAGGUCCUCGGAUCGUUAAACUCUGUCAGCAGGGAAGCACGGUCACUGUGCUAAUCAGCAGUGAAUUGACGGUAACUGCAAAGGAAGCACCGGCUCCCUCCGUGCAAGCAGCCGAGGUAAUACGGAGGGUGCGAGCGGUAAUCGGAAUUACUGGGCGUAAAGCGCUCGUGGGCGGUAAGUCAAGUCAAGAGUGAAAUCCCCGCGCUCAACGUGGGCACUGCCUUUGAAACUGGCAAACUUGAGUGGGUGAGAGGAUAGGGGAAUUCCAGGUGUAGGAGUGAAAUGCGUAGAUAUCUGGAAGAACAUCAGUGGCGAAGGCGACAAUCUGGCACAUAACUGACGCUGAGGAGCGAAAGCGUGGGUAGCAAACAGGAUUAGAUACCCGUGUAGUC
rnacentral:rRNA from 1 species